rnacentral:lncRNA from 1 species
UAAGUUCUAAUAUAUUAAUAAUAUUAUUUGAUUAGUUUGAUCAAAGAAUUAAUUUGGAAUUAAUUAAGUGAUCAAAGGAUAACUAAUUAAAUAUAUGGGUUGAUUAUGUAAAUCAUUCAUAUCUUGUAUAGUGGGCUAAAAGGCUCCAUGGAUUAUCAAGUUGGGCUUUACCCAUAGGAUGCUACAUGGAUGCUCCAUGGGAGAUACAAACCCAUGGGUCAUGAAAAUGAAGAGUCAUGACACAACACUAUAUAAAGGUCCCAUUCUCCACAAAUUGGCAAUACACACAAGACAUAUAAGAAACUUGAGGGCUAGGCCAAUUUGAAGAAGUGUGAAUUCUCUCUAAAGUCUCUCCAAGAGCAUUUGGUGUUGUGUGAAGCAUUUGAGGCAUCACACUUGGGGUGCUAGGCUCACAAGGUUUCAAGGAACACAAGCAACUACAAGGUAAGUUAUUCUAUCUUUUAUUCAAGAAAAAAUUGUUCCCCAUGUAUUCUAGAUAGGAAUAUAACCUUGGAAUUCAACUUUGCAUGAUAAUUAGACAAACAUAGAUCCAAGGUUAUUAGGGAUGUACACUUAGGAAGUGUUAGAAUGCUCAAAACCCAUCAGUGGUUUCAGAGCCUAGGCUUGUUUGCUUUUUAUUUGUGUUUAAAAGUUGAAGGAAAAAGUCGAAAAACUUGCUGUCUGACGAAUGGACUCGGCGAGUCCAUGGGGGGACUCGUCGAGUUCACUUGUAUCUUCAAUGCACUCGGCGAGUAGGGUCGACAGAGUGCAGAUUUCGACUUGAGUUGCUGGAAAUGGAUUGGAUACAUUACCCUAAACUGUUUUGGUACUUGAAAACUUGUUUUAGCUGGUGUAAUGUUUUUGCUAAUUCAUUUACAACAACUAGUUAUCAAAAUUACAAAGUUUAAUGUGAUUUUGAUUCUUGAAAGUGUUCAUAUUCAUGUUCUUGUUCUUAUGAAGUUUAGAUGAUCAUAGGAAUUAUUUGUAACCUAUGUGGUAGUUUAAUUCUUGAUCAUAAUGUGUUUUAAUGGAGUCCAUAACUUGUCCUCAAGUUAUGGAAAACCAAAAGUCUCUUGGAUUAAAAAACCAUUAAAAGAACACAAGAGUUAGAAAAAUGAAAAGUCCUCAUUUUAUUACUCUAUUAAACUCAUAAGUUACAAGAUAUGAAAAGUUUUGAAAGUUUACAAAACUUGCCCUCAAGUUUUGGAACAAGUAAAGUUAAGUUAAAACUUUAGUUCCAACCCUUAGAAUUUUAAAAGUUAAAAUUCAACCCUUAUACUUAUAUUAUUAUGAUUUAAUAAUUAUAUAUAUAUGUAUAAGAACAAAGUCGUCUUACCGCUAGUACGCCUCAUUCACGAAGCCGGUCUAUAAGGUGGGUAUAAGGUUGUUGCCUAUAAAAUGGUGACUUAAUGGGUGUCCACUCUCACCCACCGCUUGCUUGAUCGGUGGAGGGUCGUUAGCCGAACGGGUAAGACAAGGACUUAUUAAUUCUCAUUCAAAGUAUGAUGAAUAUUAUAAAGUAACUAAAUGUUUUAUUAAAUUCCCAAUCUUAGUUACUUUAGGAAAAAUGUGAAUAAGGUGCUAUUCCAUGAAAUUACACUUUACACUUUGAUUAAGUCGUUGGUGGAGCGUGUGUGGUUAACCGGCACACUAACUUGGACUUAACAAGGUAGGUAAAGGGUGACUUAGGGUUUAUUAUAGUAUCGAUGGAGCGUGUGUGGUUAACCGGCACAUCGAUUGAGUGAUAAACUUUAAGGGUACCAAGUGAUUUGCAUGGUUACUUCACACCUCGUUUUGUGAUCCUCGGUAUCCCAGUCACAAAACUUGGAGGGCACACUCGAGAUUGAAACAUGCCUUUGAAAAGUUCAUUGAAUCUCAAAGAAUCUAGGAAUUUCUAAGAACCAUUCAAAAACCUAAUACUAAAAUAUUGCGGUUUUCGUGGUGGAAAUUGGUGAAUCGUCAUUCACCUACCUUUCAAAUAUGAUAUAGCUUAGAUUACGGCAUACCUCUUCUAAGUUAUAUUAUAUUGUGAUUGGAUCCUAGCCUUAAUAUUACAUUUGGGUGUUUUAUUAAGGACUCUCUUAUAUCUAAACUAAUCUUGUCCUCUUUCCUUCAGAUGUCUUUCAACAAUGCUUCUGGCUCUAAUCCUAAUGGCUCCUUUACCCUUAUGAACUUGUGUGGGAAAGUCACCUUUGAUGGAUCCAACUUCAAUGAGUGGAUCAGAAACAUCAGGAUGAUUACCCGCUACGAGGACAAAGAAUAUGUCCUUGACAAGGAGCUUAAGGAGAUUGAUGAGUCCACUGCAACUCCUCAGGAGAUCGCUGAAUUUCGGGCACAUGAAAGGGAUGCUACGAAAGUGGCUUGCAUCAUGAUGGCCACGAUGACAGCGGAACUCCAAAAGUCUUAUGAGGAUUUCUACCCUUAUGAAAUGCACCAAGAUUUGAUGGAAAGAUACCAUCAAAGUGCAAGACAAGAGAGGUAUGAAAUCAUCUGCUCCAUGAUAACAACCAUGAUGAAGGACGGGGAAUCCGUCACGAGCCACAUGCAGAAAAUGCAAAGGUAUGUGGAUCGUUUGCUGAAGCUUAAUGUGAACUUCCCGGAGGAUCUUGCAAUAGAUAUUAUUUUGCAUUCCUUACCAUCGUGCUAUGAUCAAUUCCGCAUGACAUAUCACAUGAACAAGGAAGAAGUCACCCUCAGCAAACUUCAGGGACUUCUCAAGACCGCAGAAUCAGGUCUUAAGGGGAAGUCGGUUGCUAUCACUCCUACUCAAAACUCUACUCCGGUUUUGGCAAUCGGGAAAAGUCGAGGGAGGAAGAGAAAGAGCUCUUCUAAGGGUACCAAGGUUCGGACCCUUGAUGGCUCUUCUUCAAGUGGAACCAAGAAAGGUUUCAUUACUCCUUCUUCUGACCCAAAAGAGGCUGAAUGCUUCUAUUGCCAUGAAAAAGCUCAUUGGAAGCGGAACUGCCCAAAAUACCAGCAAGAUGUGAAGGAUGGGAAAGUUAAACCCAACCAUGCAGGUAUUUACACUAUCAUUUCUAAUAACUCACCCCAUUCUAAUUCUUGGGUCCUUGAUACCGGGUGUGGUAUUCACAUUUGUUGUGACUUGCAGGGACUAAGAAGAAGUGAGGAUGUGGAGCAAGGAAGGAUAAACUUGAUCAUGGGGAAUAGGAAAGCUAUACCUGUUACCAAGAUUGGAGUUUAUACUUUAUCGCUAAGUAGUGGGUUUAGUUUAGAUUUGAAUAAGUGUUGUUAUUCGCCAGGAAUGGCAAGAAAUAUUAUUUCCUUUCAUGCUUUGUACAAACAAGGGUUUACCUUUUCAUUUAAUAAUGAAGUUGGUUCUAUAGAUGUUUUCUAUAAUAAUGUCUUUUAUUUUAAAGCAUUACCUUGUGAUGGUGUGUAUGAAGCUGUAUCUGUUGUAGAUAACUUGGGAAAUAAUGUUUUGUGUAUUGAUUCUACUAAUAAUAACUUGGAUAAAGCAUCUUUAUGGCAUUGUCGUCUUGGACAUAUAAGCAAGAAACGCAUAGGCCAACUCCAAAAGGAUGGAGUCUUGGAGUCGUUUGACCUAAAGUCAGAUGAUAGUUGCGAAUCAUGCUUACUUGGAAAAAUGACAAAGUCACCCUUCACAGGUUCGUGUGAGAGGGGUGAAGGUUUGUUGGACCUUAUACACACGGAUGUGUGUGGACCAUUCAAACAUGCCACAAGGGAUGCUAAUCGUUAUUAUUUGACUUUUACUGAUGAUUAUAGUAGAUAUGGAUAUGUCUACUUGAUCAAGCAUAAGUCAGAGACUUUCGAGAGGUUUAAGGAAUUUAAACAGGAAGUCGAGAAUCAAUUGGGCAGGAACAUUAAGAUGCUUCGAUCCGAUCGUGGUGGUGAGUAUCUUAGUUCAGAGUUCCUCGACUAUCUAAGGGAAUGUGGGAUAGUCUCACAAUUGACACCUCCCAGGACACCACAGUUGAAUGGUGUGGCUGAGAGGCGUAAUCGAACCUUGUUAGAUAUGGUUCGUUCCAUGAUGAGUCGAGCUACGCUACCAAUCUCAUUCUGGGGGUAUGCCUUAGAGACUGCCGCCCAUAUUCUUAAUCUAGUCCCUACAAAGAAAGUUGCCAAAACUCCUCACGAGAUGUGGACUGGUAAAGUACCUAAACUAGACCACAUCAAGAUUUGGGGUUGCGAGGCUUUCGUGAGACGCGAGACUCAUGAUAAGCUCGAACCUCGAAGCGAGAGGUGUAUUUUCAUCGGUUACCCACAGCGAUCCUUUGGUUACCUCUUCUACAGACCUAGUGACAAUGUGGUCUUUGUAGCAAGAAGAGGAGUCUUUCGAGAAAGAGAGUUUAUAAGCCAAGGAGACAGUGGGAGGCAAAUUGAUCUUGAAGAAAUUCAAGAAUCAAGCGGUGAAGGAACUUCAAACUCUAGCCCUCAACUUGAGGAGGAAACUCCUGUUGAGCCAAUUGACAAAUCUGUACCUCUGAGACGUUCCACGAGAGUUAGGAGUGCACCUGAGCAUUACUAUGGAUUCCAUAUUACUGCAGAAGGUGAGACACUUAUUAGUGAUGAGACACUAGUAAGUCAAGAUGACCCUAACAGCUACGAGGAAGCCAUGGCAGGCCCCGAGUCUGCUAAAUGGAAAGAGGCUAUGGAUAGCGAGAUACAAUCCAUGUAUGACAAUCAAGUUUGGAACUUGGUUGAAAAUGUACCAGGUCGUAAGACAGUAGGGUGCAAAUGGGUCUUCAAGAAGAAGACCGACAUGGAUGGUAAAGUACACACUUAUAAGGCUAGACUGGUUGCAAAGGGCUUCUCUCAAAUUCCUGGAGUGGAUUAUGAUGAGACCUUUUCUCCGGUAGCCAAGAUUAAGUCUAUUCGGGUUCUGUUAGCCAUAGCUGCAUUUCAUGACUAUGAAAUAUGGCAGAUGGAUGUCAAAACCGCUUUCCUUAAUGGAAAGUUGGCUGAAGAUGUUUACAUGAGUCAGCCAGAGGGUUUUGUCAGCAACGAGUACCCUAAUAGAGUGUGUAAGCUUGAGAAAUCCAUUUAUGGAUUGAAGCAAGCACCUCGCAGAUGGAAUCUUUGCUUUGAUGAAAAGGUCAAGGAAUUUGGCUUUUCUAGGAGUGAAGAUGAAUCUUGUGUGUAUGUCAAGGCUAGUGGGAGUAUAGUUAGCUUUUUGGUAUUGUAUGUGGAUGACAUACUACUCAUAGGAAACGACAUUCCAACCCUGCAGGAAGUAAAGUCCUGGCUUGGGAAGUGUUUCGCUAUGAAGGACCUUGGUGAAGCUGCCUAUAUUCUAGGGAUAAGAAUCUUGAGAGAUCGGAGUAAAAGACUAAUUGGACUUAGUCAGAGUACCUACUUGGAUAAGGUGCUGAAGAGAUUCAGCAUGCAGGAUUCCAAGAAAGGAGAGUUACCCAUCCAGAGUAACACCAGAUUGAGUAAGACACAAAGCCCUAGCACUGAGGCUGAGAUAGCAGAAAUGAGUCGAACACCUUACGCUUCGGCUGUAGGAUCGAUCAUGUAUGCUAUGACGUGUACUCGACCCGAUGUAGCUUUUGCCUUGAGCAUGGUUAGCAGGUAUCAGGCGAACCCUGGCAAGGCACACUGGACUGCGGUAAAGAAUAUCCUCAAGUACCUACGGAGGACUAAGGACUGGGUCCUUACCCUCGGUGGGAGUGAUGACUUGAGAGUUGUAGGGUAUAGUGAUGCUAGCUUCCAGACUGAUAGGGAUAAUUUCCGCUCUCAGUCGGGCUGGGUCUUUACCCUAAACGGAGGAGCAAUUUCUUGGAAGAGUUCCAAGCAAGAGACAGUGGCAGAUUCUACUUGUGAAUCAGAGUAUAUUGCAGCUAGCGAAGCAGCAAAGGAGGCGAUAUGGCUGAAGAACUUCAUUGGAGACCUUGGAGUUGUACCAGCUAUUAAAGAGCCAAUGGAAAUUUUCUGUGAUAGUGAAAGUGCUGUUGCCUUAGCCAAGGAACCAAGGGAUCAUGGGAGAUCCAGACACAUCGACAGAAAAUACCAUUUCAUUAGACAUCGGAUCGAAGAAGGACUCCUCGUGGCAAAGAGGGUAUCAUCGGAUGAGAACCCAGCAGAUCCCCUCACGAAGGGACUGAGUAGGGUUAAGCAUCUCCAGCAUGCUCGGAGCAUAGGGCUGAAGGAUGAUAUAAGUUUUAGUAGUUAGAUAACCCAGAAAUUUGUAAAGUGUAAUUGACAUUUGAUGAUGAAUAAAAGGUGUUUUAUUUAUGAGUAAAGUGUUGCUAUCUCUUGUCAAUCGUUUACUAUAUUUCUUUUGCAUGUUUUGACUUCCAGAAUAAUUUUGUUUGGUGUAACAUAUUAUUCAAACCUCCACAGUCGGUCAUAUGUCGGAAGUAGGUAUGAAUCAAGACUGUCAUGAUGGGUUGUAGAGGUCUAAGGUGUUGGACAAGGCUACAACAAUCAUGAGUGCUCAUAAGUUCUGAGCAUUGGACUCAACCCACGCUCACUGGAAUCACUUCAUGGAAUUCUAUCUCGAGUGAUCGUGAGACGGUAAUAUCAUAUAAGUCUUCAAACCUAGAGAUAUGAUUUGUUACUUACAAGUUGGUUAUGCAUUGACUGUACGAAACCGCAUUGGUAACUCGAUGUUAUAAAACGUACUUUUGUGUGUAAUUCAAUGAGUGGUAGAACAAACAUAUGAGUCGAAGUUUAUCUGUUCCUUCUUGGAUUAGAAGCUGAUAUCUGGGCCCCUCGAUGAUUUUGUUUUGACCCAUGUACCGGGCCCGGUCAGAACUAAGUUGAUGUGUUCAAUUAAGUUCUAUGUCAAACAAAUCGGAAAUCGGGAAACAAAUGCUGGACAAUAAGCAAGACAAUGUUCCAUGUAUUUGUCCGGCUGAUAUCUAGAACGGAGGAUUAUAUGAUCACUUAUCUUAAAUGGCGUACCAUCAUCUUCUCAGUUCCGAGAGACCUUGAAAGAGCUACGAUUGCCGGUCGGUUCCUGAAGUACUAGAGAUAUAGUUAUUAGACUUAUCCAAGUGGGAGACUGUUGGAUAAGGUGUCUAAGUCCAUAACUAUUUCGGGCUUGUACUUGACCCGACCCGGCAUGGUCCAUUUGGGUUGCAUGGCACCAUGCAAUUGGAUAGACUAAAUGAGAGAAAUAACACUUGGAGAUUAUUAAUAUAUUAUAAGUUCUAAUAUAUUAAUAAUAUUAUUUGAUUAGUUUGAUCAAAGAAUUAAUUUGGAAUUAAUUAAGUGAUCAAAGGAUAACUAAUUAAAUAUAUGGGUUGAUUAUGUAAAUCAUUCAUAUCUUGUAUAGUGGGCUAAAAGGCUCCAUGGAUUAUCAAGUUGGGUUCUACCCAUAGGAUGCUCCAUGGAUGCUCCAUGGGAGUUACAAACCCAUGGGUCAUGGAAAUGAAGAGUCAUGACACAUUAGGGUUUACAUGGUGUAACCCUAGAUGUGUCAACACUAUAUAAGAAUCAUAUUCUCCACCAAAAAUCGGCACUACUAAGGAACUAGAGGGCUUGGCCGAUUUUGAGAAGUGUGUGUUAUCUCAAGAGUCUCUCCAAGAGCAUUUGGUGUUGUGUGAAGCAUUUGAGGCAUCACACUUGGGGUGCUAGGCUCACAAGGUUUCAAGGAACACAAGCAACAACAAGGUAAGUUAUUCUAUCUAUGAUUCAAGUAAAAAUUGUUCCCCAUGUAUGCUAGAUAGGAAUAUAACCUUGGAAUUCAACUUUGCAUGAUAAUUAGACAAACAUAGAUCCAAGGUUAUUAGGGUUGCAUGUACACUUAGGAAGUGUUAGAAUGCUCAAAACC